GGGGAUGCACUGAUCGACGAAGAUCGCACUUUAAAAUCUGCAAGCCGAGUUGAUUGCACUCGUAAAAUCAAUCAAAAAAACAACUGUCAGUGACAAUACUGAUAGUGAAGACAUUUUAGCUUUGGCCAACCGAGUUCUCGGAAAAGUUAAAGCUCGAAAUGCUUCAUUUGCUUUCGCACGAAACUAUCAAAUGUUGAGUGCCUAAGCCAUCUAUUGCGUCUUUAUCCGGCGGGGCGUUUUGGGUGAAAAUACAGCCGGGAUGCUCCCGAUUUUUUGACAAAAUAUCGGGAUAAGAUUUUGUCUUACUUUUUCCAGUUAUUGUCUGUUGAGAUAUUGGAAGAAGGAAUAUUCCUUCUUAGCGCAAGCUUCGGAGGACCAGCAACAGACUACGCUUGUAGAUGUUUUUAAUAUGUAUUUUCGGACUCCGCCUCAUCGGCGGACAUCUCCACUU
rnacentral:tmRNA from 1 species